rnacentral:rRNA from 1 species
AGAGUUUGAUUCUGGCUCAGGAUGAACGCUGGCGGCGUGCCUAAUACAUGCAAGUCGAACGCUUCACAUAUGUGAAGAGUGGCGAACGGGUGAGUAAUACAUAAGUAACCUGGCCUUUACAGGGGGAUAACUAUUGGAAACGAUAGCUAAGACCGCAUAGGUGUCAUAACCGCAUGGAGAUGAUAUGAAAUAUGCUACGGCAUAGGUAGAGGAUGGACUUAUGGCGCAUUAGCUAGUUGGAGGGGUAACGGCCCACCAAGGCGACGAUGCGUAGCCGACCUGAGAGGGUGACCGGCCACACUGGGACUGAGACACGGCCCAG